rnacentral:rRNA from 1 species
GGUUGAUCCUGCCAGUAGUCAUAUGCUUGUCUCAAAGAUUAAGCCAUGCAUGUCUCAGUACAAGCCAAAUUAAGGUGAAACCGCGAAAGGCUCAUUAAAUCAGUUAUGGUUCCUUAGAUCGUACCCACAAUUACUUGGAUAACUGUGGUAAUUCUAGAGCUAAUACAUGCAAACAGAGCUCCGACCGGAGACGGAAGGAGUGCUUUUAUUAGAUCAAAACCAAUCGGUGGCGGGUUCAACGCUCGUCAUCGUACAACUUGGUGACUCUGAAUAACUUUACGCUGAUCGCACGGUCAUCGCACCGGCGACGCAUCUUUCAAAUGUCUGCCUUAUCAACUGUCGAUGGUAGGUUCUGCGCCUACCAUGGUUGUAACGGGUAACGGGGAAUCAGGGUUCGAUUCCGGAGAGGGAGCCUGAGAAACGGCUACCACAUCCAAGGAAGGCAGCAGGCGCGCAAAUUACCCACUCCCGGCACGGGGAGGUAGUGACGAAAAAUAACGAUACGGGACUCAUCCGAGGCCCCGUAAUCGGAAUGAGUACACUCUAAACCCUUUAACGAGGAUCAAUUGGAGGGCAAGUCUGGUGCCAGCAGCCGCGGUAAUUCCAGCUCCAAUAGCGUAUAUUAAAG